rnacentral:rRNA from 1 species
CAGUAGCCGCGGUAAUACGAAGGGGGCUAGCGUUGCUCGGAAUGACUGGGCGUAAAGGGCGCGUAGGCGGCGACCAAAGUCAGGCGUGAAAUUCCUGGGCUCAACCUGGGGGCUGCGUUUGAUACUUGGUUGCUUGAGUGGGGAAGAGGGUCGUGGAAUUCCCAGUGUAGAGGUGAAAUUCGUAGAUAUUGGGAAGAACACCGGUGGCGAAGGCGGCGGCCUGGUCCUUGACUGACGCUGAGGCGCGAAAGCGUGGGAAGCAAACAGGAUUAGAUACCCGGGUAGUCCCUGUCUCUUAUAC